AUUGAACGCUGGCGGCAUGCCUUACACAUGCAAGUCGAACGGCAGCGCGGACUUCGGUCUGGCGGCGAGUGGCGAACGGGUGAGUAAUGUAUCGGAACGUACCAUUCAGUGGGGGAUAACGCAGCGAAAGUUGCGCUAAUACCGCAUAUUCUGUGCGCAGGAAAGCAGGGGAUCGCAAGACCUUGCGCUGAUUGAGCGGCCGAUAGCAGAUUAGCUAGUUGGGGAGGUAAAGGCUCACCAAGGCGACGAUCUGUAGCGGGUCUGAGAGGAUGGUCCGCCACACUGGAACUGAGACACGGUCCAGACUCCUACGGGGGGCAGCAGUGGGGAAUUUUGGACAAUGGGCGCAAGCCUGAUCCAGCCAUGCCGCGUGAGUGAAGAAGGCCUUCGGGUUGUAAAGCUCUUUCGGCCGGGAAGAAAUCGUAUGGGUUAAUACCCUGUGCGGAUGACGGUACCGGCGUAAGAAGCACCGGCUAACUACGUGCCAGCCGCCGCGGUAAAAC
rnacentral:rRNA from 1 species